rnacentral:rRNA from 1 species
GCGGGACAACUCGAGGAAACUCGAGCUAAUACCGCAUAACGUGUCAUGUCAUAAGGCGUGAUACCAAAAGGUAGCUUCGGCCUCCGCCUUUGGAUGGGCCCGCGGCGCAUUAGCUUGUUGGUGGGGUAACGGCCUACCAAGGCGACGAUGCGUAGCUGGUCUGAGAGGACGAUCAGCCACACUGGGACUGUGACACGGUCCAGACUCCUACGGGAGGCAGCAGUGGGGAAUAUUGGACAAUGGGGGUAACCCUGAUCCAGCCAUGCCGCGUGUGUGAAGAAGGCCUUCGGGUUGUAAAGCACUUUAAGCGAGGAGGAAGGUCUUUGAACUAAUAUUUCAAAGAAUUGACGUUACUCGCAGAAUAAGCACCGGCUAACUCUGUGCCAGCAGCCGCGGUAAUACAGAGGGUGCAAGCGUUAAUCGGAAUUACUGGGCGUAAAGCGCGCGUAGGCGGUAUGUUAAGUCGGAUGUGAAAUCCCUGGGCUCAACCUAGGCAUUGCAUCCGAUACUGGCACACUAGAGUGUGGGAGAGGAAGGUAGAAUUCCAGGUGUAGCGGUGAAAUGCGUAGAGAUCUGGAGGAAUACCGAUGGCGAAGGCAGCCUUCUGGCCUAACACUGACGCUGAGGUGCGAAAGCAUGGGGAGCAAACAGGAUUAGAUACCCUGGUAGUCCAUGCCGUAAACGAUGUCAACUAGCCGUUGGGCUCCUUGAGGGCUUAGUGGCGCAGCUAACGCGAUAAGUUGACCGCCUGGGGAGUACGGUAGCAAGACUAAAACUCAAAUGAAUUGACGGGGGCCCGCACAAGCGGUGGAGCAUGUGGUUUAAUUCGAUCCAACGCGAAGAACCUUACCUGGCCUUGACAUGUCUGGAAUCCUGCAGAGAUGCGGGAGUGCCUUCGGGAAUCAGAACACAGGUGCUGCAUGGCUGUCGUCAGCUCGUGUCGUGAGAUGUUGGGUUAAGUCCCGCAACGAGCGCAACCCUUUUCUUUACUUGCCAGCGGGUCAUGCCGGGAACUUUAGAGAUACUGCCGGUGACAAACCGAAGGAAGGCGGGGACGACGUCAAGUCAUCAUGGCCCUUACGGCCAGGGCUACACACGUGCUACAAUGGUCGGUACAAAGGGUUGCUAACCCGCGAGGGCAUGCUAAUCUCAAAAAGCCGAUCGUAGUCCAGAUUGGAGUCUGCAACUCGACUCCAUGAAGUCGGAAUCGCUAGUAAUCGCGGAUCAGAAUGCCGCGGUGAAUACGUUCCCGGGCCUUGUACACACCGCCCGUCACACCAUGGGAGUUUGUUGCACCAGAAGUAGUUAGCCUAACCGCAAGGAGGGCGAUUACCACGGUGUGGCCAAUGACUGGGGUGAAGUCGGAACAAGGUA